GCCCUUUACAGUCAGCCCUUUAAAGAGCCUUCCCUUUUAGGACUUCCCUGGAGUCUCUUUUCCUUCCCACUCCUUACCUCCCUCCCUGCUAAGGAAAAAAAAAAUAGCCUCCUUGGAAGUUGAAGGGAAUGCAGUCCUGGGCCACCCUGCCUGAGAGAGAGCCUGGGAAAUGUCCUUUGUAGCUGAGGACACAGCCCCACCUCCACCCCACCCAGCAACAAAGGGGCCAACAUGAAGAAAGAGAGGAAGGGCAGAUUGGGGCAGGUCACCGGAAAUCUCUGUUGCAAAGUCCACAUCCCCUGUGGAAAGUGCCAGCACAGCCCACCUGUACCCUGGGGCUUGAAGCCUGCCCCUUAUCCCAGCUGGGGCUCUCCGUCACAUGCCCGUGACUACUGCCCGGCGAGGACUCCCGUGCAGACCAGCUCCCUAGGGCCCUGGGCCCGCUGUGCCCAUCUGUGCCAGCCAAGGACGGGCAGCAGGGGCGAAGAUAGGAUGUGACCCCUGCCCCUGAAGACUCGAUCCAGGAGACAGAGCCAAGGUCACACAGAGGACAGAGUGCGUGGGACCCCCUGACACCCCAUCCUUCCCAGCAGCUCAUCCUGCUGGUGGCCCAGAUCCAUGAUGAGCUGCUGUUUGAAGUGGAAGAUCCGCAGAUCCCGGAGUGUGCAGGUAGCCUGGGGCAACACAGGGUUGCUUGGACGUCACAGACAGCUAAGAGGAGGCUCCAUGCCCCAUGGGCACAGCCCAGGAAAGCCCCCCGGCUGUCUUCCCUUUUAUGGCCC
rnacentral:lncRNA from 1 species